UACAGCCACAUCGCGUUGAAACACCGGUUCCCGUACGAUCAAUGAAGUUAAGCAACAUCGAGCAUAGUCAAUACCCAGAUGAGUGACUGUUUGGGAACACUAGGUGCUGUAAG
rnacentral:rRNA from 1 species